AUUGAACGCUGGCGGCAGGCCUAACACAUGCAAGUCGAACGAGUGGCGGACGGGUGAGUAAUGUCUGGGACACUGCCUGAUGGAGGGGGAUAACUACUGGAAACGGUAGCUAAUACCGCAUACCAUCGGAUGUGCCCAGAUGGGAUUAGCUAGUAGGUGGGGUAAAGGCGCACCUAGGCGAAGAUACCUAGCUGGUCUGAGAGGAUGACCAGCAACACUGGAAAGGAGACACGGUCCAGACUCCUACGGGAGGCAGCAGUGGGGAAUAUUGCACAAUGGGCGCAAGCCUGAUGCAGCCAUGCCGCGUGUAUGAAGAAGGCCUUCGGGUUGUAAAGUACUUUCAGCGGGGAGGCGUUACCCGCAGAAGAAGCACCGGCUAACUCCGUGCCAGCCGCCGCGGUAAUUC
rnacentral:rRNA from 1 species